rnacentral:rRNA from 1 species
GAUUAACGCUGGCGGUGUGCCUUAUACAUGCAAGUCGAGCGUGCCCGCAAGGGUAUCGCGGCAAACGGGUGAGUAACAAAUAGGGAAUCUGCCCUCAAGUUCGGGAUAACCAGUCGAAAGAUUGAACAAUACCGGAUAAUGUUGCGAAGGACAACCUUCGUAAAGAAAGGCGGCGCAAGCUGUCGCUUUUGGAUGAACCUAUUCACUAUCAGCUAGUUGGUGAGGUAACGGCUGCACCAAGGCUAUGACGGUUAGCUGGUCUGAGAGGACGGUCAGCCACAUUGGGACUGAGACACGGCCCAGACUCCUACGGGAGGUAGCAGUCGGGAAUUUUUGUCAAUGGGCGAAAGCCUGAACGAGCGACACCGCGUGAACGACGAAGAUCUUAGGAUUGUAAAGUUCUUUUGCUUGAGAAGAACACGGUUGCGACAACAUCAAUACCGUCUGACGGUACCAAGCGAAUAAGCUCCAGCCAACUACGUGCCAGCAGCCGCGGU